rnacentral:miRNA from 1 species
UAAAUGCAUUAUUUGGUACGA